rnacentral:rRNA from 1 species
UACGUAGGGGGGCAAGCGUUGUCCGGAAUCAUUGGGCGUAAAGCGCGCGUAGGCGGCCCUGUAAGUCCGUUGUGAAAGUCAAAGGCUCAACCUUUGAAAGCCGAUGGAUACUGCAGGGCUAGAGUCCGGAAGAGGCGAGUGGAAUUCCAGGUGUAGCGGUGAAAUGCGUAGAUAUCUGGAGGAAUACCGGUGGCGAAGGCGGCAUCCUGGACCGGCAUUGACGCUGAUGAGCGAAAGCUAGGGGAGCAAACGGG